UGGGGGAUAUUGCACAAUGGAGGAAACUCUGAUGCAGCAACGCCGCGUGAGGGAAGAAGGUUUUCGGAUUGUAAACCUCUGUUUUUAGUGACGAAGAAUGACGGUAGCUAAAGAGGAAGCCACGGCUAACUACGUGCCAGCAGCCGCGGUAAUACGUAGGUGGCAAGCGUUGUCCGGAAUUACUGGGUGUAAAGGGUGCGCAGGCGGGAUAGCAAGUUGGAUGUGAAAUACCGAGGCUUAACUUCGGAGCUGCAUCCAAAACUGUUAUUCUUGAGUGAAGUAGAGGUAGGCGGAAUUCCGAGUGUAGCGGUGAAAUGCGUAGAUAUUCGGAGGAACACCAGUGGCGAAGGCGGCCUACUGGGCUUUAACUGACGCUGAGGCACGAAAGUAUGGGUAGCAAACAGGAUUAGAUACCCUGGUAGU
rnacentral:rRNA from 1 species